rnacentral:rRNA from 1 species
AGAGUUUGAUCCUGGCUCAGAAUCAACGCUGGCGGCGUGCCUCAGACAUGCAAAGUCGAACGCGAAAUUUCCCCGCAAGGGGAGAAAGUAGAGUGGCGCACGGGUGAGUAACACGUAGGUAAUUUGCCUUUGGGUGGGGAAUAACUCAGGGAAACUUGAGCUAAUACCGCAUAAUGCAGCGGCUCGACAUCGAGACAGUUGUUAAAGCGGGGGAUCGCAAGACCUCGCGCCUGAAGAGAAGCCUGCGGCAGAUUAGCUAGUUGGUAGGGUAAUGGCCUACCAAGGCGACGAUCUGUAACCGGCCUGAGAGGGCGGUCGGUCACACUGACACUGACAUACGGGUCAGACUCCUACGGGAGGCAGCAGUCGGGAAUUUUGGGCAAUGGGCGCAAGCCUGACCCAGCAACGCCGCGUGAAGGAUGAAAUUUUUCGGAAUGUAAACUUCGCAAGAACAGGAAGAAUAAGUAGGGGACAAUACCCCCUAUGAUGACGGUACUGUUUGUAAGCUCCGGCUAACUCCGUGCCAGCAGCCGCGGUAAUACGGGGGGAGCAAGCGUUGUUCGGAUUUACUGGGCGUAAAGGGCGCGUAGGCGGCGUGACAAGUCACUUGUGAAAUCUCCGGGCUUAACUCGGAACGGUCAAGUGAUACUGUCGUGCUAGAGUACAGAAGGGGCAACUGGAAUUCUCGGUGUAGCGGUGAAAUGCGUAGAUAUCGAGAGGAACACCUGCGGCGAAGGCGGGUUGCUGGGCUGAUACUGACGCUGAGGCGCGAAAGCCAGGGGAGCGAACGGGAUUAGAUACCCCGGUAGUCCUGGCCUUAAACGAUGAAUGCUUGGUGUCUCGGGUUAUAAAGUCCCGGGGUGCCGUCGCUAACGCUUUUUAGCAUUCCGCCUGGGGAGUACGGUCGCAAGACUGAAACUCAAAGGAAUUGACGG